rnacentral:rRNA from 1 species
UAGGGAAUCUUCCACAAUGGGCGAAAGCCUGAUGGAGCAACGCCGCGUGAGUGAAGAAGGGUUUCGGCUCGUAAAACUCUGUUGUUAAAGAAGAACAUAUCUGAGAGUAACUGUUCAGGUAUUGACGGUAUUUAACCAGAAAGCCACGGCUAACUACGUGCCGG